rnacentral:rRNA from 1 species
CCCUUAGCUGUUCUGGGCGGCCCGCGCACUACAAUGGCGCUUUCAGCGAGUUCCUAUGUUGAAUUUUCCUGGGUAUUCUUGGAAGCGGCGUCUUGACUUGGGAUAGAUCCUUGUAAUUGUUGGUUUUGAACGAGGAAUUCCUUGUAAUCGCGGUUGAUCAGCUCGCGUUGAAUACGUCCCUGCCCUUUGUACACACCGCCCGUCGCUCCUACCGAUGAAUCGUCCGGUGAAGUUCACAGAGUGGCGGUUCGUGGAGUUGCUCGCGAAGUGAAAUGGACCUCACGAUUUAGAGGAAGGAGAAGUCGUAACA